GAUGAACGCUGGCGGCGUGCCUAAUACAUGCAAGUCGAGCGAACAGAUGAGGAGCUUGCUCCUCUGGCGUUAGCGGCGGACGGGUGAGUAACACGUGGAUAACCUACCUAUAAGACUGGGAUAACUUCGGGAAACCGGAGCUAAUACCGGAUAAUAUAUUGAACCGCAUGGUUCAAUAGUGAAAGACGGUUUUGCUGUCACUUAUAGAUGGAUCCGCGCCGCAUUAGCUAGUUGGUAAGGUAACGGCUUACCAAGGCAACGAUGCGUAGCCGACCUGAGAGGGUGAUCGGCCACACUGGAACUGAGACACGGUCCAGACUCCUACGGGAGGCAGCAGUAGGGAAUCUUCCGCAAUGGGCGAAAGCCUGACGGAGCAACGCCGCGUGAGUGAUGAAGGUCUUCGGAUCGUAAAACUCUGUUAUUGGGGAAGAACAAAUGUGUAAGUAACUAUGCAUGUCUGGACGGUACCUAAUCAGAAAACCACGGCUAACUACGU
rnacentral:rRNA from 1 species